UCGCCUGUUUAUCAAAAACAUGUCCUCAUGAAAAUAAUUUGAGGUCUAGCCUGCCCACUGAAUCUAUAUGUAUUUGAAGGGCCGCGGUAUUUUGACCGUGCAAAGGUAGCAUAAUCAUUAGUCUUUUAAUUGGAGGCUGGAAUGAAUGGUUGGACGAGGCACUGACUGUCUCAGUGUAAAUGAUAUUAGAAUUUAACUUUUAAGUCAAAAGGCUUAAAUGAUUUUAAAGGACGAGAAGACCCUAUAGAGCUUUACAUUUAACAAUUAUUAUAUAUUUGGAUGUAUUUUUGUGAUAUUUGAGAAAAUGUUUUGUUGGGGUGACAGGAAGAUAAAUUAAACUCUUUUUAAUUUUUAACCAUUGAUUUAUGAUUAGUUGAUCCAUUAUUAGUGAUUAUAAGACUAAGUUACCUUAGGGAUAACAGCGUAAUCUUUUUUGAGAGUUCUUAUCGACAAGAAGGGUUGCGACCUCGAUGUUGGAUUAAGGGUAAUUUUGGGUGUAGAUGUUCAAAGUUUAGGUCUGUUCGACCUUUAGAUCCUUACAUGAUCUGAGUUCAAACCGGAGA
rnacentral:rRNA from 1 species